CCUACGGGUGGCAGCAGUAGGGAAUAUUGCUCAAUGGGGGAAACCCUGAAGCAGCAACGCCGCGUGGAGGAUGGAGGUUUUAGGAUUGUAAACUCCUUUUGUUAGAGAAGAUUAUGACGGUAUCUAACGAAUAAGCACCGGCUAACUCCGUGCCAGCAGCCGCGGUAAUCCGGAGGGUGCAAGCGUUACUCGGAAUCACUGGGCGUAAAGAGUGCGUAGGCGGGGUAAUAAGUCAGAUGUGAAAUCCUGUAGCUUAACUACAGAACUGCAUUUGAAACUGUUACUCUGGAGUGUGGGAGAGGUAGGUGGAAUUCUUGGUGUAGGGGUAAAAUGCGUAGAGAUCAAGAGGAACACUCAUUGCGAAGGCGACCUGCUGGAACAUUACUGACGCUGAUGCACGAAAGCGUGGGGAGCAAACAGGAUUAGAUACCCGAGUAGUC
rnacentral:rRNA from 1 species